rnacentral:rRNA from 1 species
GCAGUCGAGGGGUAGAAUAGCUUGCUAUUUUGAGACCGGCGCACGGGUGCGUAACGCGUAUGCAAUCUGCCUUUCACAAAGGGAUAGCCCAGAGAAAUUUGGAUUAAUACCUUAUAGUAUUUUAGAGUGGCAUCACUUUAUUAUUAAAGAUUUAUCGGUGAAAGAUGAGCAUGCGUCCCAUUAGCUAGUUGGUAAGGUAACGGCUUACCAAGGCAACGAUGGGUAGGGGUCCUGAGAGGGAGAUCCCCCACACUGGUACUGAGACACGGACCAGACUCCUACGGGAGGCAGCAGUGAGGAAUAUUGGACAAUGGGCGCAAGCCUGAUCCAGCCAUGCCGCGUGCAGGAUGACGGCCCUAUGGGUUGUAAACUGCUUUUAUACGGGAAGAAACCCUGGCUCGUGAGCCAGACUGACGGUACCGUAAGAAUAAGGAUCGGCUAACUCCGUGCCAGCAGCCGCGGUAAUACGGAGGAUCCAAGCGUUAUCCGGAAUCAUUGGGUUUAAAGGGUCCGUAGGCGGCCCAGUAAGUCAGUGGUGAAAUCUCCCGGCUCAACCGGGAAAUUGCCAUUGAUACUGCUGGGCUUGAAUUAUCAGGAAGUAACUAGAAUAUGUAGUGUAGCGGUGAAAUGCUUAGAUAUUACAUGGAAUACCAAUUGCGAAGGCAGGUUACUACUGGUGGAUUGACGCUGAUGGACGAAAGCGUGGGUAGCGAACAGGAUUAGAUACCCUGGUAGUCCACGCCGUAAACGAUGGAUACUAGCUGUUGGGAGCCAUCUCAGUGGCUAAGCGAAAG